AGGGACGGACCAUUAGAAAAGUGAUGGGGGGGUGGGGCAAAACCAAAAAAAAAAUUUAUUCCCAGAAAAAAAUGAAAAAAAAAAAAAUCUUUCAAGGCAUAGUGCAAAAAAAAAAAAUUCCUUGCUUAGAAGAUAGGCCAAGUGGUGUACUGGAGGGAGGGCUCAGGGGAGCUGAGCCCCCUUGUUGAAAUUUCAUGUUGACUUGGGGGGCUGCACGUUGGUCAAAUUUAGCAAAAUUUCUCCCACUCGUGAGGGUUCGUAUUGACAGCGGACAUCUUACAGAAAGUGGCCAGUUCCUGCCAGUUCUUUGAAAACAGGCGCUCCUUGCGUUAUCAACAAUAUAGUAUUGUAAUUGUUAAGCUUAACAACCCAAUAAGUAUUGGGUUGUUAACCCUAACCCCCACCCUAACCCUAACCUCUAACCCCUAACCCCCUAACCACUAACCCCUAACCCUAACCCAGGAAUAAAGCUGCCGGGAUCUACCCACCCGCCACCCCUUCACCUCCAUCCCAAGACAGUUACACUUAUAACUAAAACUUUUGUGCAAUGCUUGCGGUUUUCUUUCCAGUAACAACCCAAUAACUUAUUGUGUUGUUAAGCUUAACAAUUACAAUACUAUAUUGUUGAUAACGUGCGGAACGGGUGUUGAAAAAUGCAAAAGUUUCAAUUUUACACCGCAAGUCCACUGACAAUAUGAACCUGCGAUCCUGGGAGAAAAUUUGUUGAAUGUAACCAGCGUGCUGAGCUCCCCUAUAUGCCUAUAUUAUGGCACGUUGCAUAAUUGAUAAUCUUAACAACGUGCGAAAACACACACAAAAAAAUACCAGUAAACGAGAAUGUUCUUUAGAAUUGCAUCUCAUUUUCACUCAUCAUUUAACACAAUGAUUUUUGUAAUCUUUAUAUCGCCAUUUUUGUAAUGUUUAUAUCAUUUAGUACCACUAAAUUGUAAAUUUCGACAUACUAAAACGCUGUUUUCUGACCAUCAGAAUUCUGUCAAAUCUUCCCCAAAGUCCAGGAAAUGGUAUUUCAGAGACUCUAAAUUUAAAAAUUUCCUCGGACCUUCGGCCCUCG